rnacentral:rRNA from 1 species
GGGGACAUUGGUGACAGGUGGUGCAUGGUUGUCGUCAGCUCGUGUCGUGAGAUGUUGGGUUAAGUCCCGCAACGAGCGCAACCCUUGUCUUUAGUUGCCAUCAUUAAGUUGGGCACUCUAGAGAGACUGCCAGGGAUAACCUGGAGGAAGGUGGGGAUGACGUCAAAUCAUCAUGCCCCUUAUGCUUAGGGCUACACACGUGCUACAAUGGGUAGUACAGAGGGUUGCCAAGCCGUAAGGUGGAGCUAAUCCCUUAAAGCUACUCUCAGUUCGGAUUGUAGGCUGAAACUCGCCUACAUGAAGCUGGAGUUACUAGUAAUCGCAGAUCAGAAUGCUGCGGUGAAUGCGUUCCCGGGUCUUGUACACACCGCCCGUCACACCACGGGAGUUGGAGACGCCCGAAGCCGAUUAUCUAACCUUUUGGAAGAAGUCGUCGAAGGUGGAAUCAAUAACUGGGG